rnacentral:rRNA from 1 species
UACAGGGGGGGCAAGCGUUGUUCGGAUUUACUGGGCGUAAAGGGUGCGCAGGCGGCCGUGUGUGUCAGGUGUGAAAGCCCGGGGCUUAACCCCGGAAUUGCGCCUGAAACUACAUGGCUAGAGCAUUGGAGAGGGUAGCGGAAUUCACGGUGUAGCAGUGAAAUGCGUAGAUAUCGUGAGGAACACCAGAGGCGAAGGCGGCUACCUGGACAAUUGCUGACGCUCAGGCACGAAAGCGUGGGGAGCAAAAGGG